rnacentral:rRNA from 1 species
AUGAGCCAGAGCCUCAGCCACCACCGGCUCUUGCUCGCUUUUCUGUCUGUGCUGCUGCUCACAGCCUCGGCCGUCACCGACAGCACGUUGACGCAGAGGAGGGCCAUCGGCGGCGACCAGAGGCUGGCCUCGCCCGGCGGCGCCUUCCUGCUCGGCCUCUUCUCCGUCGCCAACAACACCAAAUGGUUUCUCGGCAUCUGGUUCACCGCCUCCCCGGACGCCGUCGUCUGGGUGGCCAACCGCGAUCGCCCGCUCGACACCUCGUCCUCCGGCGUAGUCACGCUCAGCAGCCGAGGGGACCUCGUACUCCUCGACGUCGCCAGCAAUAACGAGACCAUCUGGUGGUCCAACUCCUCGGCCGCGGUGGUAGCGCAGCUCCGCGACGACGGCAACCUGGUGCUCGCGGACGCGGCCGGCGUCGUGGUGUGGCAAAGCUUCGACCACCCGACCAACACGUUCCUCUCAGGGUUGUGGGCCGGGCAGGACCUCCGGACCGGCGCGGUGUGGUCCGCCUCGUCGUGGCGCGGCGCCGAUGACCCGUCGACCGGCGACUUCCGUUACGUGAUGGACACGCGGGGCUCGCCGGAGCUGCACGUCUGGAGGAAGGGGCGCAAGACGUACCGGACGGGCCCGUGGAACGGGGUGCGGUUCAGCGGCUGCCCAGGCAUGACCACCUUCGAGGACCUUGUCGAAUUCCAGUUCACCCACACCGCCGACGAGGUGUCGUACGUGUACCGCGACCGCGUCGGCUCGCCGGUGUCCCGCAUGGUCCUGACCGAGUCCGGCGAGGUGCAGCGCAUGGUCUGGAACCCCGCGACGCUCGCGUGGAGCGUUUUCUGGUCGGUGCCGAGGGACCAGUGCGACGUCUACGGCGCGUGCGGCCCGUUCGGCGUGUGCAACGCCGUCGGCGCCGUGGUGUGCGGAUGCAUCAGGGGGUUCCUGCCGAGGUCGCCGGCGGAGUGGCGCAUGCGGAACUCGUCCGGCGGGUGCGCCCGCAGCACGCCGCUUCAGUGCGGCGAUGACGGUUUCUACGUUCUGCGCGGUGUGAAGCUGCCGGAGACGCACAACAGCAGCGUGGACGCCGGCGCCUCGCUCGCGGAGUGCGGCCGGAGGUGCCUGUCCAACUGCUACUGCACGGCGUACGCCGCGUCGGACAUCCGUGGCGGCGGGACCGGGUGCAUACAGUGGUUCGGCGAGCUCAUGGACACGCGCUUAGGCGACGACGGCCAGGAUCUGUUCGUCAAGCUGGCAAUGUCUGAACUUGGCCUAGGGACAACCAAGACCAACAAGCUCGUCAUGGUCGUCGCCGCGGUGAUAACAACAUUUGCAUUGCUUCUGCUAUCACUUGGCCUCCUGAUCUGGAGAAAGAUCCGGCAGCGCAAUAAGCAAAUCACCGAGUUUGAUCACAUCGUGAGAGGCGAGUGUCCAGCGUACCAUCUCGAAACCUUUAAAGCCGCCACCGACGGAUUCUGCGCCAAAAAUGAAAUAGGGUGUGGUGGCUUCGGCACUGUAUACAAGGGUCAAAUGGUAGAUGGCCAAGAAGUUGCAGUGAAGAAGCUGUCAGCAGGGAAUAGAGUGCAAGGUCUGAAGGAGUUCAGGAACGAGGUGAACCUGAUCGCCAAGCUACAGCACCGCAACCUCGUACGCCUGCUCGGCUACUGCAUCCACCAGUCUGAGAGGAUACUGGUCUACGAGUACAUGAGCAACAAGAGCUUGGACACCUUCAUUUUUGGGCUUCUCUACCUUCACCAGGACUCGAGGCACACGAUGAUCCACCGAGAUCUCAAGGCGGCCAACGUUCUCCUCGACCGGGAGAUGGUGGCCAAGAUAUCGGAUUUUGGAAUCGCCAAGCUGUUCAGCAGCAUCAGCGACCAUCAGGUCACGGAAAGGAUUGUUGGGACAUAUGGUUACAUGUCACCUGAGUAUGCGAUGGACGGCAUGGUAUCGUUCAUGCAGGACGUGUAUAGCUUCGGUGUGCUGUUGCUGGAGAUCAUUAGUAGCAGGAGGAACCAACGAAGUUUCAACCUCAUUGCUCAUGCAUGGGGGCUAUUUGAAGAAAACAAGAGCCUCGAGCUCCUUGACCCAGCCGUGCGGGGCGGUUGUAGCCCGACCGAGCUAGAGCAGGCCGCGACGUGCAUCCAGGAGGACACAUCCGGCAACGCCGAGCUGACCAUCACAAACCCUGAAGUACUUCACAACAUCACAUGA